UACGGAGGGGGCAAGCGUUGCUCGGAAUUACUGGGCGUAAAGGGCGCGUAGGCGGGAUGGCAAGUCGGUCGUGAAAUCCUUCGGCUCAACCGAAGAACGUCGAUCGAUACUGCUGUUCUUGAGGGUUGCAGAGGAGACUGGAAUUCCCGGUGUAGCGGUGAAAUGUGUAGAGAUCGGGAGGAACACCGGUGGCGAAGGCGGGUCUCUGGGCAAUUCCUGACGCUGAGGCGCGAAAGCGUGGGGAGCAAACGGG
rnacentral:rRNA from 1 species